AUACGGAGGAUGCGAGCGUUAAUCGGAAUUACUGGGCGUAAAGCGUACGUAGGCGGUUGGUUAAGUUAGAUGUGAAAGCCCCGGGCUUAACCUGGGAACUGCAUUUAAAACUGGCGAACUAGAGUUGAGUAGAGGGGAGUGGAAUUUCAGGUGUAGCGGUGAAAUGCGUAGAGAUCUGAAGGAACACCAGUGGCGAAGGCGACUCCCUGGACUCGAACUGACGCUGAGGUACGAAAGCGUGGGUAGCAAACGGGAUUAGAUACCCCAGUAGUCC
rnacentral:rRNA from 1 species